GCGUCAUCUGGAUUUAUUGGGGUGUAAUAGGGAGGGGUAGACGGCAGCCGCCAGUCUGAUGUGAAAAUACCGGGGGCGCCCAACCCCCGCAAACUGCAUUUUGAUAAUAUGCCAGCCUUGAGUGCGGGAGGAGGGUAAGUGGGAAUUUCUUAGUGUAGCGGUGGAAAAUGAGUAGAUUAUUAUGGAGGAGCACCACUGGCGAAGGAGGGGGUAUUUGUACCGUAACUGACGUUGAGGCUCGAAAAGCGUGGGGAGCAAACAAGGAUUAGAUACCCUGGUAGUCCACGCCGUAAACGAUGAUUACUAGGUGUCGGGGGGACCAAGGUCCUCCGGUGCCGGCGCAAACGCAUUAAGUAAUCCACCUGGGGGAGUACGUUCGCAAGAAUGAAACUCAAAGGAAAUGACGGGGACCCGCACAAGCGGUGGAGCAUGUGGUUUAAUUUGAAGCAACGAGAAGAACCUUACCUGGUCUUGACAUCCGGACGCCGUAUGGGCAAAGCCAUAUUUCUUUCGGGACGUCCGAGACAGGUGGUGCAUGGUUGUUGUCAGCUCGUGUCGUGAGAUGUUGGGUUAAGUCCCGCAACGAGCGCAACCCCCGUUUCCAGUAGCCAGCAUAUAAAGAUGGGCACUCUGGAGAGACUGCCCGGGAUAACCGGGAGGAAGGCGGGGAGGACGUCAAAUCAUCAUGCCCCCUAUGAUCAGGGGUACACACGUGCUACAAUGGCGUAAACAAAGGGAAGCGAGACGGGGACGUUGAGCAAAUCCCAGAAAUAAAGUCCCAGUUCGGAUUGUAGUCUGCAACCCGACUACAUGAAGCUGGAAUCGCUAGUAAUCGCGAAUCAGAAUGUCGCGGUGAAUACGUUCCCGGGUCUUGUACUCACCGCCCGUCA
rnacentral:rRNA from 1 species